GAUCUAUGAUGACUCCUGCGCCCUGUGAUGGUUGGGUCCAUCGCCACUCUCUGAUCAUCUGAUGAGAUUUGCGCUACUGAGAUC